GACACUUUGGCCGAGUGGUUAAGGCGCUGCCCUGCUAGUCUUCACACAAGAAGAAAGUUGAGGCAGUGGGUUCGCCCACGUAGGUUCGAAUCCUGCAGGUGUCG
rnacentral:tRNA from 1 species